UCGAGCGAAGCGCUUUGGAAAGAUUCUUCGGAUGAUUUCCUUUGUGACUGAUCGGCGGACGGGUGAGUAACGCGUGGGUAACCUGCCUCAUACAGGGGGAUAACAGUUAGAAAUGACUGCUAAUACCGCAUAAGACCACGGUACCGCAUGGUACAGUGGUAAAAACUCCGGUGGUAUGAGAUGGACCCGCGUCUGAUUAGGUAGUUGGUGGGGUAACGGCCUACCAAGCCGACGAUCAGUAGCCGACCUGAGAGGGUGACCGGCCACAUUGGGACUGAGACACGGCCCAGACUCCUACGGGAGGCAGCAGUGGGGAAUAUUGCACAAUGGAGGAAACUCUGAUGCAGCGACGCCGCGUGAAGGAUGAAGUAUUUCGGUAUGUAAACUUCUAUCAGCAGGGAAGAAAAUGACGGUACCUGACUAAGAAGCCCCGGCUAACUACGUGCCAGCAGCCGCGGUAAUACGUAGGGGGCAAGCGUUAUCCGGAUUUACUGGGUGUAAAGGGAGCGUAGACGGCACGGCAAGCCAGAUGUGAAAGCCCGGGGCUCAACCCCGGGACUGCAUUUGGAACUGCUGAGCUAGAGUGUCGGAGAGGCAAGUGGAAUUCCUAGUGUAGCGGUGAAAUGCGUAGAUAUUAGGAGGAACACCAGUGGCGAAGGCGGCUUGCUGGACGAUGACUGACGUUGAGGCUCGAAAGCGU
rnacentral:rRNA from 1 species